CACGGGGGGAGCAAGCGUUGUUCGGAAUCACUGGGCGUAAAGGGCGUGUAGGCGGUCAGGUAAGUGAAAUGUGAAAUGUCUCGGCUCACCCGAGGACCGGCAUCUCAUACUGCCUGACUUGAGUACGGGAGAGGAUGUGGGAAUUCCUGGUGUAGCGGUGAAAUGCGUAGAUAUCAGGAGGAACACCGGUGGCGAAAGCGGCGCGCUGGACCACAACUGACGCUGAGGCACGAAAGCUUGGGGAGCAAACAGG
rnacentral:rRNA from 1 species